CACGUAGGGCGCAAGCGUUGUCCGGAAUUAUUGGGCGUAAAGAGCUCGUAGGCGGUCUGUUGCGUCCGCUGUGAAAACUCGGGGCUUAACCCCGAGCCUGCAGUGGAUACGGGCAGACUAGAGGUAGGUAGGGGAGAAUGGAAUUCCGGGUGGAGUGGUGAAAUGCGUAGAGAUCCGGAGGAACACCGAAGGCGAAGGCAGUGUCCUGGCGAGUGACUGACGCUGAGGUGCGAAAGCCAGGGGAGCGAACGGG
rnacentral:rRNA from 1 species